UUCCGGUUGAUCCUGCCGGACCUCACUGCUAUCGGGGUGGGACUAAAACAUGCAAGUCGAGCGCCUCCAAGCUAUGGUGAAGGCGCGGCAUACGGCUCAGUAACACGUGGCCAACCUACCCUUGGGACGGAGACAACCCCGGGAAACUGGGGCUAAUCCCCGAUAGGUAAGGAAUCCUGGAAUGGAUCUUUGCUGAAAGGGCGUCUAGACCAUGCUUCUUGACGUCGCCCAAGGAUGGAGCCGCGACCGAUCAGGCUGUUGGCGAGGCAACGGCUCACCAAACCUAUAACCGGUACGGGCCGUGAGAGCGGGAGCCCGGAGAUGGGCACUGAGACAAGGGCCCAGGCCCUACGGGGCGCAGCAGUUGCGAAAACUCCGCAAUAUGCGAAAGCGUGACGGGGCUACCCCGAGUGCCGCCCGCUGAGGGCGGCUUUUCCACGGUGUAAGGAGCCGUGGGAAUAAGGAGAGGGCAAGACUGGUGUCAGCCGCCGCGGUAAUACCAGCUCUCCGAGUGGUGAGGACGAUUAUUGGGCUUAAAGCGUUCGUAGCCGGCUCAACAAGUCUUCCGUUAAAUCCAACGAUCUAAUCGUUGGGCCGCGGGAGAUACUGCUGGGCUAGGAGGCGGGAGAAGCCGACGGUAUUCCCGGGGUAGGGGUGAAAUCCUGUAAUCCCGGGAGGACCACCAGUGGCGAAGGCGGUCGGCUAGAACGCGCUCGACGGUGAGGGACGAAAGCUGGGGGAGCGAACCGGAUUAGAAACCCGGAUAGUCCCAGCUGUAAACGAUGCGGGCUAGGUGUUGGGGUGGCCACGAGCCACCUCAGUGCCGCAUGGAAGCAAUUAAAGCCCGCCGCCUGGGGAGUACGGCGCAAGGGCUGAAACUUAAAGGAAUUGGCCGGGGGAGCACCACAGGCGUGAAGCUUGCGUUUAAUUGGAGUCACGCCGGA
rnacentral:rRNA from 1 species